rnacentral:rRNA from 1 species
CCCUUAGAUGUUCUGGGCCGCACGCGCGCUACACUGACGAUGGCAACGAGUUUUUCCUUCGCCGAAAGGUGUGGGUAAUCUUUUGAAAAAUCGUCGUGCUGGGGAUAGAUCAUUGCAAUUUUUGAUCUUGAACGAGGAAUUCCUAGUAAGCGCGAGUCAUCAGCUCGCGUUGAUUACGUCCCUGCCCUUUGUACACACCGCCCGUCGCUACUACCGAUUGAAUGGUUUAGUGAGGACUCCUGAUUGGCGCCGCCGCCCCGGCAACGGAGCAGCGGACUGCCGAAAAGUUGUUCAAACUUGAUCAUUUAGAGGAAGUAAAAGUCGUAACA